GGCUCAUAACCCGAAGGUCGCAGGUUCAAAUCCUGCCCCCGCUA
rnacentral:tRNA from 1 species